rnacentral:rRNA from 1 species
AUUGAACGCUGGCGGCAUGCCUUACACAUGCAAGUCGAACGGCAGCACGGGAGCAAUCCUGGUGGCGAGUGGCGAACGGGUGAGUAAUAUAUCGGAACGUGCCCAGUCGUGGGGGAUAACGUAGCGAAAGCUACGCUAAUACCGCAUACGAUCUAUGGAUGAAAGCGGGGGAUCGCAAGACCUCGCGCGAUUGGAGCGGCCGAUAUCAGAUUAGGUAGUUGGUGAGGUAAAGGCUCACCAAGCCGACGAUCUGUAGCUGGUCUGAGAGGACGACCAGCCACACUGGGACUGAGACACGGCCCAGACUCCUACGGGAGGCAGCAGUGGGAAUUUUGGACAAUGGGCGCAAGCCUGAUUCAGCAAUGCCGCGUGCAGGAUGAAGGCCUUCGGGUUGUAAACUGCUUUUGUACGGAACGAAACGGCGAGCUCUAAUACAGUUUGCUAAUGACGGUACCGUAAGAAUAAGCACCGGCUAACUACGUGCCAGCCGCCGCGGUAA